UUCAGUGAUUAGUGGCGACGGGUGAGUAACACGUGGGCAAUCUGCCCUGUACUUUGGGAUAAGCCUUGGAAACGGGGUCUAAUACCGGAUAUCACUUCCUUGGGCAUCCAGGGUUGUUGAAAGUUCUGGCGGUACAGGAUGAGCCCGCGGCCUAUCAGCUUGUUGGUGGGGUAAUGGCCUACCAAGGCGACGACGGGUAGCCGGCCUGAGAGGGUGACCGGCCACACUGGGACUGAGACACGGCCCAGACUCCUACGGGAGGCAGCAGUGGGGAAUAUUGCACAAUGGGCGAAAGCCUGAUGCAGCGACGCCGCGUGAGGGAUGACGGCCUUCGGGUUGUAAACCUCUUUCGCCAGGGACGAAGCCGCAAGGUGACGGUACCUGGAUAAGAAGCACCGGCUAACUACGUGCCAGCAGCCGCGGUAAUACGUAGGGUGCAAGCGUUGUCCGGAAUUAUUGGGCGUAAAGAGCUCGUAGGCGGUUUGUCACGUCGGCUGUGAAAUCUGGAGGCUUAACCUUCAGCGUGCAGUCGAUACGGGCAGACUUGAGUUCGGUAGGGGAGACUGGAAUUCCUGGUGUAGCGGUGAAAUGCGCAGAUAUCAGGAGGAACACCGGUGGCGAAGGCGGGUCUCUGGGCCGAUACUGACGCUGAGGAGCGAAAGCGUGGGGAGCGAACAGGAUUAGAUACCCUGGUAGUCCACGCUGUAAACGUUGGGCGCUAGGUGUGGGCGACAUCCACGUUGUCCGUGCCGUAGCUAACGCAUUAAGCGCCCCGCCU
rnacentral:rRNA from 1 species